UACGUAGGCAGCGAGCGUUGUUCGGAGUUACUGGGCGUAAAGCGUGCGUAGGCGGUUUUGUAAGUCUGUCGUGAAAUCCCCGGGCUCAACCUGGGAAUUGCGAUGGAGACUGCAAGGCUAGAAUCUGGCAGAGGGGGGUAGAAUUCCACGUGUAGCAGUGAAAUGCGUAGAGAUGUGGAGGAACACCGAUGGCGAAGGCAGCCCCCUGGGUCAAGAUUGACGCUCAUGCACGAAAGCGUGGGGAGCAAACAGG
rnacentral:rRNA from 1 species